GCUAAAUUUGUCGUAACCCGCGCGUAACUCGCCUAAGGUGUAUGUUGGAAAGAUCUUGGAGUCGUCGCUACGAUUUUCGGACCGCCAUAUUUGCUCGUAGCGCUAAGUGUCUCGAAGAGCACCCUUACAGUGAUCGUAGGGUGGUUUGUUUACCUCCCGUGGAAUUCUGUACCCACGUUGCCUUGUCAGAGAUGGAGUUACAAGUUGUAUUGCAACAUGAUGUUGCAGUAAACAGGGCCUGGAGACGUGAAAGAAGAUUUAGAGACCGAACAGAUCCAUUUGCUUUUAGUGAUGAACACUUGCUGAGAUAUUACAGACUCCCGAGACAGGAGCUUCUUCAUUGGUGCCAGAAGCUAGAACCAAAAGUUGGCCGAGCAACAAGAAAAUCCCAUGCAGUGCCAUGUCAUUUACAGGUGUUGAUGACAUUUAGGUUUUAUGCCAGUGGGUCAUUCCAAAGUGUGUUGGCAGACACAUGGAUUAACACAAGGAUGUGUCAGCAGAGUCAUCAACAGAGUGACAGAUGUGCUGUAUACGGCGUCACUUAGAGAAACACGGAUGCCAAGAGGACUAGAGGAAGCCAGGGUAACAAAGGAAAUUAUAUGGAAUUGCCAAUUUUCCAAAUGUGAUUGGCAUCAUCGAUGGAACACACAUCCCGAUUGCUGCCCCACCAGUUGAUGAAGAACUCUACAUUAAUAGAAAGAAUUUCCAUUCACUGAACAUACAAGUUGUGUGUAAUGCAGACUACAUUUUUCAAGACUAUUGCUGCCGUUUCCCUGGAAGCACACGAUUCAUUUGUAUGGGAGAACAGCAUCCUCAACAGGAGAUUCCAGCGGGGUGAAUUUGGAGAUGCCUUUCUUCUUGCCCAGGCAGGAAAACUCCUACCCACUCUUCCACUCCUGGAUGAAGUAGUAGUCAACCCUGAUGACAUAGAUGGACCUGUGUUUGUUCCUGCACCAGCUGGUGGUGGAGGACGGGAUGCAAGGGCAAUAGCUGGGAAUGCAAUGAGAAGGCAAAUCAUUGCACAACACUUCUCAUAGUCUGAAAAGGGGGGAUAUAGUUGUGUAAAGUAAGUUUCUAUCAAUAGUUAGUUUUAAUGUGUUGAGCUGUGCUGGUUGUUCCACUGUUGAUGGUGCUUACGAUGUUCAUCAUUCUUGGGACAUAGGAUACCUUCUACAAAUAAGGUAAUGUUAAGAAUAUACAUGAUAGGUUGUUUAUUGCAGUUUACACUGCAUAUAUGAUUAAUUUUGUAAGUACAAAAGUAAAAAAAAUAGGUUCUCCAUUAUAACUAACUGUAUAAUAUCACAUUAUUCAUUUGGUAUGUAUCGUAAUAGGUAACUAUAAUAUCACAUUAUUAAUUUGGUAUGUACUAUCAGAUAGACUAAUUACACAAAUUGUAAUGCACAGCCAGUUACAAAAAUGUUUACCUGAUUUCUUGACCCACUGCAAUAUUCAACUAAUGUUACUUGUACUUGAGUCACCACUCUAACCCAUUCUUGCAGCAACAUAUUGGCCAUAUAUUUAGUAGCUUUUCUUAAAUACUGCUUCAGUUUCUUGUCCUAGUGGUGUAUUUAGCUCACCAUUACCUUUCCUGUAGUAUUCCUUGUGUCUUAUAUGAAUGUGUAAAUAUUUAUAUUUCCAUACAGUGACUCGACAACUGAAACCCACACUGUGUAACUGUGUAUAUACACACACAUUGUGCGGGUUCCAAUCCUGGAGUUACUACAUGGGAAUAUAAAUAUUUACACAUUCAUAUAAGACACAAGGAAUACUACAGGAAAGGUAAUGGUGAGCUAAAUACACCACUAGGACAAAAACUGAAGCAGUAUUUAAGAAAAGCUACUAAAUAUUAUAAACAAUAGGUAAUUGUUCACCUUCAAAAUAAAUUUACAUCUUUGUCAAAAUAUUAACUGAAAUGUUUGAGGAAAUGCAAAUGUACACUAAAAUUAUUUCAUAAUUAAUAAAUGGUAUUUGGAGGCUAAGUCUGCAUUACAUUCAAACUUUUAGUGCAAAAAGAAUUCAUCAUUAAUAAAUAGGCUACUCCGUAAAAAUAAAUAAAUAUGUCAUUGUACAAAAUAAGAAAAUAAAUGGCACUGUGAAAACAGGUUA
rnacentral:lncRNA from 1 species